rnacentral:rRNA from 1 species
UACGGAGGGUGCGAGCGUUGUCCGGAAUCACUGGGCGUAAAGGGCGCGUAGGUGGCCUGUGGAAGUCUGCGGUGAAAGCCCGGCGCUCAACGCCGGGUCGGCCGUGGAUACUCUCGGGCUUGAGCUUACUAGAGGCAGGAUGGAAUUCCGGGUGUAGCGGUGGAAUGCGUAGAUAUCAGGAGGAACACUGCGGUGUAGACGGCUUCUGGACCAUUGCUGACGCUGAGACACGAAAGCGUGGGUAGCAAACAGG